rnacentral:tRNA from 1 species
UCCCUGAUAGCUCAGUUGGUAAAGAAUCUGCCUGCAAAGCAGGAGACCCCGGUUUGAUUCCUGGUUUGGGAA